UUGCAGAACUUCAAAUAAAGCUUCAGUUCCAUUCUUCAAGUUUUUAUUCACCUGUAUGAAACCGGUUUCUAUCAUUAAGGUGUUUUCUCAAUAUGUUAUGGCCAUGCACCUAUAAAAGUCAGAAGAAGAAACAUGAACAAGAAAAAAUUAAGCGGUGAUGGAAAAAUCUUUGCCAGCAGUAACCUCAGAACAAGUAGCUGAACUUAAUGUACAUCAUAAAGGCAAUAUUCCUGGGAAGCCUGUGUUAAGUGAAGCAAAUCCAGCAAGACUCAAAAGAAAAACACAGCUUCUACUUCACACAAGCUUCAGCAUCUUCCAUACAGCUCUCAGAGAGUCUGUAUUCCUGGAUGAGAUGCCUCCUACCAUAGCUAAGUAACUGUGUAUUCUUCCUUCCCAAUAUUUCCGCUACUCAAUCAUCACGUGUGGUUUCCAAAGACUGAUGUAGGGAGCUAAGUGUCCAAGAAUGCAGGUACUGACAGAAUGGUAACCACCACAGCUGAUUCAUGACUGGAAGAGACAACAGCAGAAUGCAGAAUACAUAUUCUUUUUUAGAACCAGAAAUAAACUCAUCUUUAACCAAAA